rnacentral:rRNA from 1 species
UACGUAGGGGGCAAGCGUUGUCCGGAUUUAUUGGGCGUAAAGAGCGUGUAGGCGGCCAGGUAGGUCAGCUGUGAAAACUCGAGGCUCAACCUCGAGACGUCGGUUGAAACCACCUGGCUAGAGUCCGGAAGAGGAGAGUGGAAUUCCUGGUGUAGCGGUGAAAUGCGCAGAUAUCAGGAGGAACACCAAUGGCGAAGGCAGCACUCUGGGACGUGACUGACGCUGAGACGCGAAAGCGUGGGGAGCAAACAGG